GUGCCAGCAGCCGCGGUAAUACGUAGGGGGCGAGCGUUGUCCGGAAUUACUGGGCGUAAAGCGCGCGUAGGCGGUUCGGUAAGUCGGUUGUGGAAGCCCCGAGCUCAACUCGGGAAUGGCGACCGAAACUGCUGAACUAGAGUUCGGUAGGGGGUGCUGGAAUUCCCGGUGUAGCGGUGAAAUGCAUAGAUAUCGGGAGGAACACCUGUGGCGAAGGCGAGCACCUGGGCCGAUACUGACGCUGAGGCGCGAAAGCUAGGGGAGCAAACCGGAUUAGAUACCCGGGUAGUCCUAGCCCUAAACGAUGGAUACUUGGUGCUGCGGGUGUCGACCCCUGCAGUGCCUUAGCUAACGCGUUAAGUACCCCGCCUGGGGAGUACGGUCGCAAGGCGGAAACUCAAAUGAAUUGACGG
rnacentral:rRNA from 1 species